UUAUUGAUAGGUUAUUUAAACUGACAAAUUGUGGGUUUGUAGAUUACGGAUUCGUAUUGAUAAA
rnacentral:tRNA from 1 species